GUGUUCGCUUCAGCAGCACAUAUACUAAAAUUGGAACGAUACAGAGAUUAGCAUGGUCCCUGUGCAAGGAUGACACGCAAAUUCAUGAAGUGUUCCUUACUUUU
ensembl:snRNA U6 U6 spliceosomal RNA